GACGAACGCUGGCGGCGUGCUUAACACAUGCAAGUCGAACGGCAAGGCCUGCUUUCCCUUGUGGAUUGCGGGUACUCGAGUGGCGAACGGGUGAGUAACACGUGAGUGAUCUGCCCCCAACUUGGGAAUAAGCCUGGGAAACUGGGUCUAAUUCCCGAUAGGACUGCAGGGUGGAGCCUGUGGUGGAAAACGAUUUUCUAGUGGUUGGGGAUGAGCUCGCGGCCUUUCGGCUUGUUGGUGGGGUAAUGGCCUACCAAGGCGGCGACGGGUAGCCGGCCUGAGAGUGUGGACGGCCACAUUGGGACUGGGAUACGGCCCAGACGCCUACGGGAGGCAGCAGUGGGGAAUAUUGCACAAUGGGCGGAAGCCUGAUGCAGCGACGCCGCGUGGGGGAUGACGGCCUUCGGGUUGUAAACUCCUUUCGACCGCGAGGAAGCCACCUGGUUGGAAGGGUGGUGACGGUAGUGGUAGAAGAAGCACCGGCUAACUACGUG
rnacentral:rRNA from 1 species